GAGUUUGAUCCUGGCUCAGAACGAACGCUGGCGGCGUGCUUAACACAUGCAAGUCGAACGUGAUCCAGAGCUUGCUCUGGUGAAAGUGGCGCACGGGUGAGUAACGCGUGGAUAACCUGCCCUGGUAUCUGGGAUAACAUCUCGAAAGGGGUGCUAAUACCGGAUAAGCCUACGGGAUCUUCGGAUUCKGCAGGAAAAGGAGGCCUCUAUUUAUAAGCUUCCGUAUCAUGAUGGGUCCGCGUACCAUUAGCUAGUUGGUGGGGUAAUGGCCUACCAAGGCGACGAUGGUUAGCUGGUCUGAGAGGAUGAUCAGCCACACUGGAACUGAGACACGGUCCAGACUCCUACGGGAGGCAGCAGUGGGGAAUUUUGCGCAAUGGGGGAAACCCUGACGCAGCAACGCCGCGUGAGUGAUGAAGGCUUUCGGGUCGUAAAGCUCUGUCAGAGGGGAAGAAAUGGGUCGUGCUAAUAUCGCGACUUCUUGACGGUACCCUCAAAGGAAGCACCGGCUAACUCCGUGCCAGCAGCCGCGGUAAUAC
rnacentral:rRNA from 1 species